UUUUCUUCGGAACUCUCUGCAAGGUGCUGCAUGGUUGUCGUCAGCUCGUGCCGUGAGGUGUCGGGUUAAGUCCCAUAACGAGCGCAACCCUUAUCGUUAGUUGCCAGCGGGUAAUGCCGGGGACUCUAGCGAAACUGCCGGUGUAAACCGAGAGGAAGUGGGGAUGACGUCAAAUCAGCACGGCCCUUAUGUCCAGGGCUACACACGUGUUACAAUGGCCGGUACAGAGGGCAGCUACCUGGAGACAGGAUGCGAAUCUCGAAAGCCGGUCUCAGUUCGGAUCGGAGUCUGCAACUCGACUCCGUGAAGCUGGAUUCGCUAGUAAUCGCGCAUCAGCCAUGGCGCGGUGAAUACGUUCCCGGGCCUU
rnacentral:rRNA from 1 species